rnacentral:rRNA from 1 species
GAUGAAAAGCACUUUGAAAAGAGGGUUAAACAGUACGUGAAAUUGUUGAAAGGGAAGCGCCUAUGACCAGACUUGGGCCCGGCGAAUCAUCCAGCGUUCUCGCUGGUGCACUUUGCCGGGCACAGGCCAGCAUCAGUUUGUCUUGGGGGAAAAAGGCUUUGGGAACGUGGCUCCCUCGGGAGUGUUAUAGACCAUUGCAUAAUACCCUGGGACGGACUGAGGUUCGCGCAUCUGCAAGGAUGCUGGCGUAAUGGUCAUCAGCGACCCGUCUUGAAACACGGACCAAG